GGUCAUUUGAUGAUGAUGUUAUUUGGAAUGAUGAUAGCAACUCAGCUACCGCCGACGAAUCAGGCAUACCGAUGGCAAUUGCGGAUAAAGUAGACUGCACAGCACUCGUCUUAAACGGAAUUGGAGGAAUCGACGCAGUUGAAAACAUCACUGAGCUCAUCGAGACAUGCCGC